AGAAAGCCCAUCCCACUAGUGAACAAAUCCUUGUGAGCAAGUUUUAUUUUCUAACCUAUUGUUCCUCAUUCUACCUGCAAGAGUCAAAAAAGUCUGGUCCUUCAAAUAUCUGAAGAUAAUUAUCAUACUUCCCUUGAAUUUUUUUUGGACAAAAUUUCCUUUAAUUCAUUCAACUUUUGUUCAUAUGCAUGAACUUAAGAUCUUUCUCCAUGCUGCUUGUCCUCUUUAUUAAUGUCCUUUGGUACCUAGAACCACCAUAGUGGUUCAGGGUAGGUUCCAGGAUGCCACAGGUCAGUGACCAUUACCUGUCCAUCUCUGGCAGCUACAGUUCUCAAUGAGCUUGCAAAGCCUAAAACUCCUAAAUCUUUUUUCACAACUACUGUUUAAACAUAUAUCUCCCCUUUACUUAGGAAGUUGAUUUUUUUUUUUUUUUUUUUUUUUUUUUUUUUUUUUUUGGUACUCAAAUGUCAACUCUGACAUUUAUACCUAUUGAAAUUAAGCUAGCUUGUCAAGAUCCUGAAUUCUGACUGUCCAUCCAAGUUAUCCUUCCUAAAUUUGUUAUCUGCAAAUUUGAUGAGCAUGAGCUUAUCCAAGUCAUUGAUGAAGACGUUAAAUGGCUCAUGACCAAGUACUGAUCCCUAGGCACUCCACUGGAGACUUCCUGUUGUUUUAAACCAUUGUUGACUACUCUGUGAGUCCAGCAUGCAACCAGUUCUGAAUCCAUCUGCAUUUUGUAUUUCUUUGGUUUCAUAGACAGCCCUUCCCUAUCUUCUGGAUCAGAUCAGGAAAAUUAAUGAAUUUUACCUUUAAGAGGAAGUUCUUUUAUGUGCCUGUUAUUCUAAUAUAUGUAGUUAACCUCCAGCUGGAAAACAGAUUAGGAAGAGUCAGACCUUUAUCUGACUGAGCCUAAUGUGGCUUACAGUAAUCAUUUGUUUAGAAGAAUCACAGAAUCUCCAGUUGGAAGAGACCUCAAUGACUAUCUAAUCCACACUAAACUAGUGCAAAAAUCUACUGUACAAUAUACCCAAUACAUGGUUAUCCUGGCUUUAUCUUGAACGCUUCAAAUGAAGGCAGCUCCACUACCUCCCAAGCUGACUGAUUCCACAUUUAGAUAGCUCUAAUUAUUAGUAAGUUUUUCAUUAUGUGAAACAGAAAUUUGCUCUUUUUACACUCUCCUCUCUUUGGCUCCUAGUCUUGUUCUCUGAGGCCAAGCAAAACAAAUCUAAUACCUUGCUCCACGUGACAUCCCUACAAUUAUGAGAAGAAAGGAAUACCUCCCAAGUCUUUAGAAUAAACAUUAAUUGUUCUUUUAACCAAAACUCAUACUGCAUAAUCUCCAGGUCAUUCAUCAUCCUAGUGACCCUAGGAUUCUAGAUACUAAAGUUUAUCAGUGCCCUUCCUAAAAGUGGAUGUCUAAACCUGAAUGUGGUACUCUGCAUGUUGUCUAAGUAGAAGGGCUGUCACCUCACUAAUCUGAGACACUAUAGCUUUACUAACAGAGACAAGAUUACAUUAGGCUUUAUGGCUGCUAUACCACAAUGUUGAUGCAUACUGAGCUUGCAGUCCACCAAACACCCUGGGUCUUUUUCAUUUUAGUUGCUAUUUCACAAUUUGUGAAGCUGAUUUUUGAAGCAUAUGGUUUUUACAAUUAUGCCAUUAAAUUUCAUUUUGGAUUCAGAUCUUUCUGGAUCCUUAUUCUGUCAACCAACAUGGCUAGCUUUCCAUCCUAGCCCGCAAAGCCCUCUGUAAUAAGGUCCUUGUUGUCCUCAAAAUGAGUUUUGGAGCUGUCCAUUGCUAUUUUAAGCCAUCUUCCUAAUUCUUAUGUGCAGCUCUAAUUAAAGUCAGUAUCCUGAUCUGCACUUCCCCAUCAGUGCUUUUAAAUCACAUUGAUCAGUUCAUGAAGACCUUGCUUCCCUCCCCAUAAGACAGGUGUGAAGACUAAGAGCCAAAUAAAUGAUACUGAAGAAGGCAAAAAGAGGGAAUCAAGAAGAAAGAAAUGAAGGGAGGGAGAGAGAAGGAAGGUUGGAUGGAUGGAAAGAUCUAAUCUCUUUUCUCUCAGCAAAGAUUGUCCCACUAUAAUUCUCUAUGGGCAAGGGAAAUAAUGUUCAGUUAUAUUCCUGAGAAACUUUUGGAGAGCAAGGGAGAGAACAAAAUAAGUAACAAAAAGAUCCACACUCCCUUUUUCCUGAUAUAAAUCUCCCUUAGGAGCCACACAAAUGUCUCCAAUAUUUUCCCUUCCACUCUUUCUCUAUUAAAGAAUCAUCUCUUGCUUUUAAAAAAUCCUCUUUUUUAUGUGGGACUAUUCACUCACGUGGCAGCUAGAUGGCACUAGGCCUGAAGUCAGAAAGAUCUGAGAUAAAAUUCAACCUCAGAAGCUUACUGUGUAACCUUGGGCAAGUCAUUUAACCCUGUUUGAGUUUUUUCAUUUGUAAAAUGAGCUGGAGAAGGAAAUGAUAAAACCACUCCAUUAUCUUCCUUAAGAAAAUUCCAGAUGGGGAAGAGUUGGACGUGAACUGAACAACAAUAUAAUUCUCUCAUCUUUUCCCAGUAGUCACUCAAAAGCAGAGUCUGAGGAUAUGAGGAUAUCUGUGGUGGAAGUGAUGAUUUAAAAGUUGUCAGUUAUCUAGAUCGCUUUCAAGUUUUCCUAUGGUUGAUUCCCUUAUGCCUUUAUUAUUAAGAAACAGUGUAGGAGCAGCUAGGUGGCAAGAGUGGAUAAAGCACCAGCCCUAAAGUCAGGAGGCCAAAUUUGAACUCAGGGCUUCCUAGCUGUGUGAUCCUGGGCAAGUCACUUAACCCCAAUUGCCUCCGCAAAAAAAAAGAAGAAGAAAAAGAAACAGCAAAUGAAAAGAUCACAAAAUAGGGAGGAUGGAGAUCUGGGUUCUAAACUUGUCUCUGCCAUAAACUCACUGGAAGAGAAAAAAAAUAUUUUGUCCAAUCUUAUUUUGCAGAGAAAGAAAUUGAGGUCCACAUUGUAGUGAUAUGAUUUACAGUCAGUCACACAGAUACAGAUACAGAACUCAAGUCUUCCCAUUCCUAUCCCAAUAUUCUUUUUUUCUGCUAGAAGCAAGUCAAUCCAAUCCACCUCUCUUAUCCUUAGUACCUCCUUUGUAAAAUGACAGAUGAUAUUUAUGAACUAUUUUUAUGUUUCUCAAAAGCACUUUGCUCACAAUGACCAUGUGAUAUUAGCCUCAUUUUAUAGAGCAGUAAAUGAAGGCUACAGAGAAGUGACUUGUUCGAGGCUACACAACUAAUGAGUUAUGAGAUCUGGACUUGAACUCUGUUUUUCUAACGCCCAGAGGAGGUCUGGACCAUGUGGUUCUUGAUUAUCAUCCAUGCUGGCCCAGACUGGACCCUUAAAGAAAGCCAGAGAGGGUGAGCAGAAGGAAAUCUAAGGCCUGAGUGGAAAUGCAGGAAUGAUGGGCUACCUUUGGUAUCCUUAGCAUAGGAGAAAAGGAAGUGCUGCUGCUCUUUGUCACCUACUAAUCAUAAUCCUCUUUUUUAUGAUCAUGGUAGCAGCUAUCCCCUUGCUAAUGGACACUCCACUGACUUAGAGCCUCUAAAAUCGAUUCUUUGAAUGAGACAGUCACCAUGGAUUCAAAUCCAUUAUCCUGUUGCCUGCAAAGUGAUGGAGUAAAGAGGAGAUAAUGAAGGGAAACAGCUAAAACUUGACAUUAGAAGAAUAUUUGGAAAAUAACUGAUACUGAGGGUGGAGAUCAGAGAUGAUUUCCUAAAAGGAGCCAGCUUUUCCAUCACUGUUCCUGUACUCUGUGGAGAAAACACAGGAUGGGAUGGGGUCUCAAGGCCAAGAGGGACCAAAGUGAAAAACUGGUCAGGUAGUAGUAGAGUAGGGAUUGCCCUUGAAUGUGGUUCCUUAUGUUAAGCAUCCAGGGCUGCUGUUCUCCCUAUCUCUACCUUGGUGCACUGGUGAGUGGCAAAGCCAUCUGAUCAAGUCAGUACAUAGGGAUCUUUGAAGUGCCUUCUCUGUGCCUACCACUGAUUGAGAAAUUAUAUUCUCAAUAUAAUUGAGAAUAGGCUACCUAGCGACCAUCUAUUCUGUAUCUAUCCUGUAGGUACCAAUCGUAUCCAUAUUGUCUCAUAAGAAUGUAGGCUUCUUGUCAGGCCUGAAUAUAGAUCAAAAAUAUAUUUUCACUUUUUUGUUCUUUGCUUGCUUUUUAUUGUCUUUUUCAUUUUUCCCCU
ensembl:lncRNA